rnacentral:rRNA from 1 species
CCUACGGGAGGCAGCCGUGGGGAAUAUUGGGCAAUGGGCGCAAGCCUGACCCAGCAACGCCGCGUGAAGGAAGAAGGCUUUCGGGUUGUAAACUUCUUUUCUCAGGGACGAAGCAAGUGACGGUACCUGAGGAAUAAGCCACGGCUAACUACGUGCCAGCAGCCGCGGUACUACGUAGGUGGCAAGCGGUAUCCGUAUGUACUGGGUGUAAAGGGCGUGUAGGCGGGAAAGCAAGUCAGAUGUGAAAACCAUGGGCUCAACCUGUAGCCUGCAUUUGAAACUGUUUUUCUUGAGUACUGGAGAGGCAGACGGAAUUCCUGGUGUAGCGGUGAAAUGCGUAGAUAUUAGGAGGAACACCAGUGGCGAAGGCGGUCUGCUGGACAGCAACUGACGCUGAGGCGCGAAAGCGUGGGGAGCAAACAGGAUUAGAUACCCGAGUAGUC